UACGGAGGGUGCAAGCGUUGUCCGGAUUUAUUGGGGUUAAAGGGUGCGUAGGCGGCUAAUUAAGUCAGCGGUGAAAUUCCACAGCUUAACUGUGGAACUGCCAUUGAUACUGGUUGGCUUGAGUACAGAUGAGGUAGGCGGAAUUGACAGUGUAGCGGUGAAAUGCUUAGAUAUUGUCAAGAACACCUAUUGCGAAGGCAGCUUACUAAGCUGUAACUGACGCUGAGGCACGAAAGCGUGGGGAUCAAACAGG
rnacentral:rRNA from 1 species